ACGUUCAACCACUGAGCCACGCCAUUAAUCAUGGAGUAAUAAUCCCAUUUCCAACUCCAGUCCGUCUGCCUCUCCUACACCAAGCAGCUUCGGAGGGCUUUAGGCCACUGGGAGUUUGUGGACUUGGGGAAAGUACUUGGCUGCCAGCUCAGAGGACCCUGCAGGAACUUCUUGGGCCCCUGUGAGAGGUCAACUCUGGCCCAUAUAGAGGACUGCAUCUGUGGAACCCUGGAAGCCAAGGAGCUGAACAGGUCGCCAAUCAGAACUAGCCAGUGAGAAAUUAAGCAAGUGUCUCUCAUGAUAAGUGUUCAGUUGAAAAGCCAGGACUAUAAUUCAGGACUACAUUCCAUUCUAUUACUAGGUCAGAAGCAGGCAAUACGUGACUUGGACGCUGGUGUUUGGUAUAUAUCUUAGUUGUCUCAAGUGGAUGUCCUGUCUACUCUAACUUCUUACCUUCUGCUCUCCUAUUUCUUCAUACCGAUAGGCUGAUCUUGGCUACAGUUACAUCGUUAGGAAGACUGGAGCAAUCUCCUCAGUGAACUGAGACCGCCUCCUUCCUGGGGUUAUUUUGUACCAGCAGUGCUAUUGGCAGUAUUCCAUUCCAGCUAUUUGGAAACGAAUGUACGAACUACCACAGGCGUACACAUGAAAGAGAGCCGUGCCCAAGGCUUCAGGGAGGAGGUGGGAUCUGAGCUGGUAUUCACUCUCUCCAGCCAUCAGCAGGGGAGUCAAGGGUCAGCUUUACUUCGUCCAGAACCUUGAAUCACGUUUUAAAACAUGGAAGACAUCAUCGUACAUCUCUACCCUAUGUAAACCUGACAGCCAGACAAAUCAAGCCAGAGGUUUUCUAUAGUUAAAAGAUACUCUUCCCACUUGCCAGUGGAAGAAGGAGAGGUGGUCCUUGAGGACAGCAAGGCACAUGGAGUCGUGACUGUGGUCAGCAGUGGAGCCGGCAGGGUGGGAGGAACGAUGCUUCCAUGCCAUCAAGACUGGUGUUGGGCAGAACACUCUUAUUGGAAUGGUUUUUCCAGAAGCAGGGCCUGAAAUGGUUGAUUCUCAUUAAGAAGUUUUAAGCGGUGAGGAAAGAGAAUGAGCCAAGCCAAGACGUGGGUUCGGAUUAAGGCUAGUCUCCACCUGAUCUCAGGGGAACUAUGAAAUGUGAAAUGUAUCACAGAGGUUGUCCCCCACACAUACCCAGAGGCAUGGGGACGAGACUGUCACACUCCCACACUCAUCAGUCAUUGGUUUAAGACCGCACCGCCCUCUGACGACACUGCAUCACUUUACAGGCCUCUCUGGGCAAGGCAGCCAUGGUCAGCCAAGGGCUGGAAAAGGGUGUAGGUGUGAGCAGUUAGCAACCAACAUCCAGGAGCUGGAGGACAGGUGCCCUGGCCCAGUUAGGAGAUCUGCUACAGUCACUCUAGGGAAAACCUAUGCCAAGCCCCAGUUCUUCCCAUGGCUUCUCCGCAAGGUUGCACGAGAAUCAGACCAGUUUGGGGAGCACCAGACAUUAUUCAGUUGGCCAUUCCCACUCCCCAUCUCCAUUAUCUCUAAGACAGAGGUAAGCUGUUUUAGAGAUAACUUAUCACAAUGAAGGGGAAAUUCCAUCUUGAAGAUGUAAGACUAUGAAGUCAGAAUGAAAGGUUCUCAUCUGUGCGAAUGCAUAUAUAGAAGAGAGGAGAUUUCUUAGGGAAAUGGGUUUUGAGACCCCUGGGGGAAAAUGGGCUUUCUUGGUUUAGAAGGAACAUGUGGGGAAGAUAGAAAAAUUCCCAUGCCCCUCAGUCCUUUUUAUUUUAAAAUAAUUCUAUAUGUACAGAAUUUGUUUUGUGCAAGAAUAGCACAAAACCCAUUUUCCUGAGCCAUUUGAGAGUAAGUUGUCAACACAAUGCCCCAUCACUCCCAAAUAAUUUAGUGCUUCCUAUAAACAAGACAAUUCAUUGUAUACUUAUAGCACAACAAUCAGAAAAUAAACAUUGAUUCAUUACUACCAUCUAAUACACAGACCCCAUCUGAGUUUUGCAAACUAUCCCAAUGUUCUUUUAAUUUAUAUAUAUAUGUAAAUAUAUAA